rnacentral:rRNA from 1 species
UAACUACGUGCCAGCAGCCGCGGUGAUACGUAGGGUGCGAGCGUUGUCCGGAUUUAUUGGGCGUAAAGGGCUCGUAGGUGGUUGAUCGCGUCGGAAGUGUAAUCUUGGGGCUUAACCCUGAGCGUGCUUUCGAUACGGGUUGACUUGAGGAAGGUAGGGGAGAAUGGAAUUCCUGGUGGAGCGGUGGAAUGCGCAGAUAUCAGGAGGAACACCAGUGGCGAAGGCGGUUCUCUGGGCCUUUCCUGACGCUGAGGAGCGAAAGCGUGGGGAGCGAACAGGCUUAGAUACCCUGGUAGUCCACGCUGUAAACGGUGGGUACUAGGUGUGGGGUCCAUUCCACGGGUUCCGUGCCGUAGCUAACGCUUUAAGUACCCCGCCUGGGGAGUACGGCCGCAAGGCUAAAACUCAAAGGAAUUGACGGGGCCCCGCACAAGCGGCGGAGCAUGCGGAUUAAUUCGAUGCAACGCGUAGAACCUUACCUGGGCUUGACAUGGAUCGGGAGUGCUCAGAGAUGGGUGUGCCUCUUUUGGGGUCGGUUCACAGGUGGUGCAUGGCUGUCGUCAGCUCGUGUCGUGAGAUGUUGGGUUAAGUCCCGCAACGAGCGCAACCCUUGUUCACUGUUGCCAGCACGUUAUGGUGGGGACUCAGUGGAGACCGCCGGGGUCAACUCGGAGGAAGGUGGGGAUGACGUCAAGUCAUCAUGCCCCUUAUGUCCAGGGCUUCACGCAUGCUACAAUGGCUGGUACAGAGAGUGGCGAGCCUGUGAGGGUGAGCGAAUCUCGGAAAGCCGGUCUCAGUUCGGAUUGGGGUCUGCAACUCGACCUCAUGAAGUCGGAGUCGCUAGUAAUCGCAGAUCAGCAACGCUGCGGUGAAUACGUUCCCGGGGCUUGUACACACCGCCC